rnacentral:other from 1 species
AACGUUCUGCGGUGUUCGUCACCGAUGUAACGAUGAUUGAGCCAACGCCGUUGAUUAGGGAGACCGAGGUCGCAUCGCCAGCGCAUUUCUUCAACGUUAAGAAAUGCCAGAGGCGGCGUCAUUAAGAGGUCACCCACCUGUCUAUGCAGGUUCAAUUACGGCGUCGGAACGACAUUGCGGAUCUCCU